GUGGCCAUGACUCUGGCUGGUGCUGGAGCAGGACUUCAGUUCCUGUCGAGGACUAACGUCCUAGUUGUUCGAUUCAACCUUGGCCACG